UACGUAGGGUGCAAGCGUUGUCCGGAAUUAUUGGGCGUAAAGAGCUCGUAGGCGGUUCGUCACGUCGGAUGUGAAAGCCCGGGGCUUAACCCCGGGUCUGCAUUCGAUACGGGCAGGCUAGAGUUCGGUAGGGGAGAUCGGAAUUCCUGGUGUAGCGGUGAAAUGCGCAGAUAUCAGGAGGAACACCGGUGGCGAAGGCGGAUCUCUGGGCCGAUACUGACGCUGAGGAGCGAAAGCGUGGGGAGCGAACAGG
rnacentral:rRNA from 1 species